CGCCUUCUGCAAAAAUAGAAGGUCUAGCCUGCCCAGUGACCAAGUUAAACGGCCGCGGUACCCUAACCGUGCGAAGGUAGCGCAAUCACUUGUUCUUUAAAUGAGGACUAGUAUGAACGGCAUCACGAGGGUUACACUGUCUCCCACCUCUAAUCAGUGAAACUGAUCCCCCCGUGAAGAAGCGGGGAUAAACUUAUAAGACGAGAAGACCCCAUGGAGCUUUAAACUCAGUACCAAUCACCUAUUACCACACCACAAUAACCCGAUGACCCUGGUUGCUAGUUUUAGGUUGGGGUGACCACGGAGCAUAACAAAACCUCCAUGUUGAAAAACCUCCUCUAAUCCAAGAGUGACAACUCUAAGAAUCAAAAACCGACAUAUAUUGACCCAAAUAUUUUGAUCAACGAACCAAGUUACCCUGGGGAUAACAGCGCAAUCCAUUUCAAGAGCUCCUAU
rnacentral:rRNA from 1 species